GAUGAACGCUGGCGGCGCGCCUAACACAUGCAAGUCGAACGGUUAAGGCGCCUUCGGGCGCAUAUAAAGUGGCGAACGGCUGAGUAACACGUGGGCAACCUGCCCCUCGCACCGGGACAGCCUCGGGAAACCGUGGAUGAUACCGGAUACUCCGCCUCCCCCGCAUGGGGAGGGCGGGAAAGCCCAGACGGCGAGGGAUGGGCCCGCGGCCUGUUAGCUAGUUGGCGGGGCAGCGGCCCACCAAGGCGAUGAUGGGUAGCCGGGUUGAGAGACCGACCGGCCAGAUUGGGACUGAGACACGGCCCAGACUCCUACGGGAGGCAGCAGUGGGGAAUCUUGCACAAUGGGCGGAAGCCUGAUGCAGCGACGCCGCGUGCGGGACGAAGGCCUUCGGGCUGUAAACCGCUUUCAGCAGGGACGAGGCGAAAGUGACGGUACCUGCAGAAGAAGCCCCGGCUAACUACGUGCCAGCAGCCGCGGUAAUACGUAGGGGGCAAGCGUUAUCCGGAUUCAUUGGGCGUAAAGCGCGCGUAGGCGGCCAGCCUGGUCGGGAGUCAAAUCCGGGGGCUCAACCCCCGUCCGCUCCCGAUACCAACCGGCUUGAGUCUGGCAGGGGAAGGCGGAAUUCCCGGUGUAGCGGUGGAAUGUGUAGAUAUCGGGAAGAACACCAAUGGCGAAGGCAGGUCUCUGGGCUGUUACUGACGCUGAGAAGCGAAAGCGUGGGGAGCGAACAGAAGUAGAUACCCUGGUAGUCCACGCCGUAAACGGUGGACGCUGGAUGUGGGGCCCAUUCCACGGGUUCUGUGUCGGAGCUAACGCGUUAAGCGUCCCGCCUGGGGAGUACGGCCGCAAGGCUAAAACUCAAAGAAAUUGACGGGGGCCCGCACAAACGGCGGAGCAUGCGGAUUAAUUCGAUGCAACGUGAAGAACCUUACCUGGGCUUGACAUGUGCCUGACGACUGCAGAGAUGUGGUUUCCUUUCGGGGCAGGUUCACAGGUGGUGCAUGGUCGUCGUCAGCUCGUGUCGUGAGAUGUUGGGUUAAGUCCCGCAACGAGCGCAACCCUCGCCCUGUGUUGCCAGCGGGUUAUGCCGGGAACUCACGGGGGACCGCCGGGGUUAACUCGGAGGAAGGUGGGGAUGACGUCAGAUCAUCAUGCCCCUUACGUCCAGGGCUUCACGCAUGCUACAAUGGCCAGUACAACGGGUUGCUUCAUGGUGACAUGGUGCUAAUCCCUUAAAACUGGUCUCAGUUCGGAUCGUAGUCUGCAACUCGACUACGUGAAGGCGGAGUCGCUAGUAAUCGCGAAUCAGCAACGUCGCGGUGAAUGCGUUCCCGGGCCUUGUACU
rnacentral:rRNA from 1 species